rnacentral:lncRNA from 1 species
GUGCCUCCGCGUCCCGCUCGCGGCCCCUCGGUCUCCGCCACGCGCCCCCCUCCCGCCUUUCCCCUCUCCCCGCCGGGCCCCUGCGCCCCUCCGAGCCUCCCCGACCGCCGCCUUCGGUAGUGGGGAGCGGGCAAAGGGAUGCUCACCCGGGGCGAGGGACCCCCGCGCCUGUCCGACUCCAAAAGCGAGAACCUGGAACCGGAGGACGCGGCGCCUGGUGCACCUUCCGCGAGAACCGCGAGCGCUGUGCAGCCACCUGUGCCCUCCUUCCUAGCACCCCGAGGACGCCCCAGAAACCGGCCCGGAAGCCCGUUUAGGGGGUGAGCUGCCGUAGGAGCCAUGGAGUCGCGUUGGGUUAACCGAAGAAGAAACCUCUAGUGCGUUUUGGUGGGGAGCAGACAGCCUGGAAAGAGGGAAGCUGCAGAGCCCCGCGUGGUGAACAUGGGCCCGUCCCCGUGCGACUGUGAAACCAACCAGGAAGCCAGUCUUCCCCAAACCGCAGCCCCAGGUGGGUAUGAGGAGCAGGUGGGUGUGAGGCGACCUGUUGGCCGUUGGGGACCGUCAGUCUAGGGAAAGCGCUAGCUGUUAGGACCCUGAGAGUGGAGAUGCACUAGCGAUGAGAAAUAAAACAGGUAACGUUGUUGUCGUCGUUGUUGUUUGAAUUUUAUUCAGAAACAGUUUCAAACACAAAAGUUAGAACAGUACGAACAGUAUAAAACACACUCUUGUACCUUUUACCUGGGUUCGCUCUUAACUUUUCAUCUCAUUAAGGUCAUCGUUUUCACUUGACUCCUCCUAUCCCCUCAGUAAAUCCACCGACACCUCUCCCUUAUCUGUCUGCCAUCUUUCCAUCUAUCCAUGACUUUCUGGUGGGGAACCAUAUGAGAAAACAAGACCUGGACCUCAGGCUUGUAGCUUAGGAUCUGAAAGCUUGGACCCUGGUCCCACGGUAAACUUUUCUGGGCAGACCAAUGAAGUUGGAGCAUUUCUAAAUGGCAGCCCUUGUUCUUCCACCUAGAGGGUCACUGCAGUGUCAGAAUGGUUAGUGCUGGUGGCCUGCCGUGGGUGGGUGGGUGGGAUGAUGGCUUCCUCCUGGCUGGUGGGUAUAUCUAGAGAAGUAAUUGUCACAAUGAUGAGAUACAGGCAGACAGGAGUGAGGAAGGGUUCAUCUUUCCUGGGGGAUCUUAGCUGAAUAUCUCUGAGACUAGUGAAGGGGCAAGGUAAAGGACCAGAGAAAGGGUAUCCAACAGAUGGAACCCCUUGGGCAGGGGGAGCCCUGGGCCCCCAGAGCUCAGGGUAGGAAUGUGGCUGCCCAGGAGGAGGCUGAGAGCAGAGGAACUUUGAUGGAGGGGAGCAGGGUCAGCGGUGCACGGCAGCAGGCUUGGCACACCUCAGGAAGGAUGCCCAGCAGAGGCUCCGUCCACCCCUCCCCUUCUUCACUCUCAGGCCUUCUCCACGGGCCCCUCCAGAGCCACAGUGCUCUGGGGUGCAGCAGUGGAGAGGUGGCCACCUGUGCUUGCUGGUGGGACCCCAUGCACUGGCCCUGCCAGGCCUGGUUCCAGCAGAGACCUGCCUCCCUGCCCCCAGGUUGGCUCUGGCCACUUCCCCUCAGUGCCUCCGCUACAGGUGUCUGGAGGCUCAGGGCUUCCCUCCUGACAUGAGGUCCCCCACAGGACCACAGGCUUCUGGCACCUCCACCUGUGGCUGUGGAGGCUUCUGAGGCUGAGCUGAGCCAGCAGAAUCAAAUCUGCUGAGAGGCUCCUGGAAGCGGAAACCAUAUACCUGGUGGUUCAUCUGGGGACCCUUGGGGCCACAUGGGUACGCCAGAGUGGAAGAUGUGUCCUUCACUCACUGGAAAGUGGAUGCUGUGCUGGCCCCUUGCACCUCCAAGGCAGGAAGCACCUUCCUGGAAGUGACUCUGAGGUCACACUCUGCAUGGGCUCCUUCCUGGGCAGGACCGCAGGGUCCUCAUUGUGCCCAUGCCUCCAAGGCCAUCUUCAACUUGCAACUUUAAAGAAAUUUAUCCUCUGCCUCUCUUUUUGUCUUUUAAAAGCCUGGAUAUCAGCCUUUAUUUUUUUUUUUAAGUUACAUCUUCCCCUAAACACCCAUGAAAAAUCUAGGCUGUUGAGAACCUUGUCAGUCCUUUCCCCAUCCCAGCCGUGGAAUUCUGUGGAAACCAGCAAGAGGCCAGGAGUGGUUGGUGGUGGGCAGCCAUGGUGGGCUUGGACCUGGGUUGUGCUUCUGGGUUUCUGCUAGUCAACAUGGGCUUGGUCCUCUGAUUCUCAUCUCAGUUCCUGGUGCCUCAGGCUUCCCCAUGUUGGGGACCCUGUGGAGGCCUGUGCCCCAAGUGUGUCUGGGCUCGAGCUGUGGAGCACAGGUCCUACCGUGUGCUUGGCCUACUGCUCAAGAUGAUUCGAAGCUUAAGUCGAAGGUCAGCCAGGGAAGCCUCCACAGUGCCUCGUACCCUUCAGGUGACCGGAUGACACAGACACAGGCUGGGCUCCCACCUCAGGGCCACAGGCUGCUCCCACACUAACCCCAGCUGAGGGAAUCACUCAUCGGGCUGUUGAGAGCCACGGACAAUUCGAGAUGGCCUCUGGCACUUUGCCAGAAGGAGUGGUUUGAGAAGUAACGCCAGCGAGCCAUUAAGAUGAUGGAGGUUCCUUAAUGACUGACUGCUGUGUCUAGAUUAUGUCAAUUAAGUUAAGCUGUGUGUCAUCAUAAGAUGAUGAGGAUUCCUUACUGGUUGACUGCUGUACCUAGUUUAUGUUGAUUAAGUUAAGCUGUGUGUCAUUAGUUGGGUAUAUAUACUUCUCUGUCCCGUAAUAAAGCGGCUCCCGCUGUGUCAACCUUCACAAGUUGCUUGUCACCCCGUCACUUUGCCCAGCCAGACUGUGCCUACUGUGCACCACCUGAGACCUGCAGUCCCGGGCUGGUGGGUGGAAUGAUGGGUUCCGGAAGCUCAGCAUCCUGUGUGGGAAAGCUGGGCCUCCUUCAGUUUUACAGAUCUCUUCUCCAGACCUGUCCUACUCAGGCCCUGCACCGGGCUGGGACUGUGCCAUGGGGUGGAGGGGGUUUCUUCUUCUGCCUGCUUCGCGUCUGCCCCACUGGGGUCCUCUGGAGUCAGAGAAAGGGCGGAAGGUCUGGGAAGCCCUAUGUAGGGCACAGCAUGGUAGCCGUGGCGUGAAGAUGCAGAGGGGGCUUCAUGAGUCCUCAGGCCUCUCCUGCCCCUACACGCUGAAGGCUCCUCAGUGAUGUCCCCCUCCCCCUGCAGACACCACCUUUCCACGUCACCGUCCAGAUGCUGCUGGUGCAUCUCCUGCUCAGCUCUGCCACCAAGGCCAGCUGCAGCCUCUGCCCUGUGGUCUUCUGGUCCGGGAAAAGACAGAGGCCUGGCCCCCCAAGUGCUGUGUGAGGGAGGGAGAGCCACCUGCCAACCUCCCGGAGAGCAGUGCUGCUGUCGGCAAAGCUGUGCUCCUGUGGCCUUGGAGGCUGGGGAGAUCACAGCUUCUGGAGGUCACAUACACUGGGGGAGCACAGGGCUGACCCACUGAACCCUUGGGGCAGUCUGGGCUCCGCAGUCCAUGGUCCAGCUGUGUUGGCCUGUGGGGCUUAAACUCUGACAUGCCUCUCUGUGUCACCUACAGUGCCCCAGCUUGAAGUGCGCAGGGAGCCUGGGCUGGAGGCCUUUGGAUACACCUGGAACAGGGGCGAGGUGGCCGUGGGUGAGAACCACCUGGGAGUCUGGUUCUCGAGAGACUCCAUGUUUUCACACAGCUGCUCCUAGAGAAAAACGAGCAGAGUACAGAGCGCUCCUGGUGCCCCUUGCCUCUCGGCAGUCUGCCCCAGCUGCCGGGGCAUGGUCGCAGUCUCCCACCCACCCUUGUUAUUGACCCAUGUUCGUGGUGUGCCUGGGGCCCUCCUGCUGGUAUGGACCCUUCUGUGGGUCUGCCCCGAUGUGUGGGACAUGUACCCACCAUCUCAGCAGCUGGCAGAAUGCCUUCGCCAGCUCUUCCUGUUCCUCCACUCGCCCUCCUGACCCUGGAAACGUGACCCCUUGCAGCCUUUCCCACAUAGUGCCCAGGAAUCCUGCAGGUGAGCCCUUUAGACUGGCUUCUCUCCCUAGUGAUGGGCAUUCGGGAUCCUCCGUGGCUGCAGGGCUUGAGCUCGGCUCUUUUUAGCUGUCACCCCUGUCUGCUCUGCCACAGGUCAUCCACUUGCCUGCUGAAGGGUGUCUUGGUUGCUUGCAGGUAGCAGCGACUAUGAGUACAGCUCUGUUAACAGCCAUGUGGGUCUAUGUGUAGACACAGAUUUUAAGUUCCUGUGAGUAAAUACCAAGAGCACGAUUGUUGGCACCCAUGGCAACUUUAGUUUUGUAAGAAAGUUCCAAAUCGUCUUCCUGAGCAGCGGCCUCAUUUGCAGCCCCCAGUCAGGAAAUGUCAGUGUUUCAGCAAGUGAGAGUUCCUGUUGCUGCGUACCCUCCUUGCAAUGGGGGUGGCAGUGUUCUGGAGCCUGGCCUUUCCACGGGGAUCGGGGUAUCCUGUGCUGUUCUGACUUGCAUCUCUGAGGACAUGUGAUACAGAGCUUUCUCUCAUAUGCUUAUUUAACAUUUUAAAUCUUCUUUGUAGGUAUCUGUUCAGUUCUUUUAUAAAUUAAUUUUUUUUUUUUUUUACUGUUGAGUUUUAAGACUUCUUUGUUUAUUUGGAUACUAAUCCUUUAUCAGACACAUGGUUUGUGAAGAUUUUCUCAGUUGUGGCUUGUCUUCUUAUACUCCCAACAGUGUCUUUUGCAGAGCAAAAGCUUAAUUUCAAUGAAGUACAGUUUAACAGUUUUUUCUUUCUUUCUUUGAUCAUGCUUUUGGUGUGGCUAAAAAGUCACUGACAAAUCCAAGGUCACCUAUAUUUCUCCUAAGGUAGUUUUAUAGUUUUGCGGUUUGCACUUAGGUCUCAGGCCCAUUUUGAGUUAAUUUGAGAAGGGGGUGCUUUUUGGGUGUGGGUUUGCAGCCUGUGCCAACAUCACUUGCUGGAGGCUGUCAUUGCUCUGUUGAAUCACCUUGCUCCUUGUCGGGGGUGCGCUGGCGGUAUCUGUCUUGGUGUCUCUGUGCUGCCUGCUCCAUCCUCUUCUCUGUUUCUUUGCCAGUGACACACUGUUUCCACUCGUGCAAUUUUAAAGUAAGUCUUGAAAUCAGGUAAUGUCAGUGAUUCAGCUUGGGUCUUCUUCCUCAAUAUUAUGUUGGCUACUCUGAAUCUUGUUUUUCUACUUAAAUUUUAGAAUAAGUUCGUUAAUGACCACAAAAUAACUUGCUGAGAUUUUGAUUUGGAUUGUGUUGAGUCUGUAGAUCCCUUUGAGAAGAACUGACAUCUUGACAAAUUUUGUUUUCUUGACCAUGAACAUGGAAUAUCUACCAAUUGUGUGGAUCUUCUUUGAUUUCUUUCAUCAUGUUUUCCUGUGCACUUAAUUUUUUGGUACUAUUGCCAGUGGUAUUAAAAUUCUAAUAUUUCUGAGGUUUAAGAAAGCAAUUGACUUUUGUCUUUUGUGUAUUACUCUCACCUCAUGUAAUUUUGCUAUACUCACCUAUUGGGUUGAGAAGUUAUUUUUAUUCUUUGAGACUUUCUACAAUCAUGUCUUCUAUACACAAAGACAACAUUUAUUUCUCUAUGGUAAUUCUGUAUAUCUUUAUUUCCAGAUUUUUUUUUGUCUUAUUGCAUUAUCAAGAGCUUCUAGUACAAAACCGAGUAGGCACAGGCACAAGGGAUGUCCUCACUUUGUCCCAGUUUUAGUGGAAAGCAUCUAGUUUCUCACCAUCUGUUAUGAGAUUGAUUGUAGAUCUUUUUUGCAUAUGUUUUUUAGCAAGUCAAGGAAAGUCCCUUUUAUUUCCCAGUUUGCUCAUUUUUUUUUAACUUUGAGUAUGUGUUGAAUUUUGUCAGACUUUUUAUGUCUCUAUUGGUAUGACAAUAUGAUCUGUUUUCUUGAGCCUGUUGAUAUGAUGGAAAAUGUUGAUUUUCAAAUAUCAGUUCGUAUACCUAGUAUAACACCCACAUGGUUGUGGUUAAUUUUUCUUUAACAUAUUGUUGGAUUUGAUUUGCCAUCUUGUUGAGGAUUUUUGCAUCUGUGUUCACGAGACAUAUUAUUGCCUGGUGCUAUUUUAUGUGAUGUUUCUGCUCGAUUUUUCGUCAGGGUGAUCCUGACAUCAUAGAAUGAGUUAAGAAGUGCUCCCUCUGCUUCUGUUUUCUGGAAGAGAUCAUAUGGAACCAGCGUUGUUUCUCCCUUAAAGGUCUGGAGGAGUGCACCAGCGAACCCGUCUGUGCCUGGGGCUUUCUGGACUGGGAGGUCUCACUGAUUAUUGAUUCGGUUUAUCUCAUCGACGUGGCCUGUUUGGAUCACCUGUUUCUCUAGAGUGGUUUGGUGGGUGGUGUUUUUCAAAGAAUUGGUUCAUGUUUUGUGGGUUGUCAGAUGAGGGGUUCCUUAAGUUCCUUUGUUACCCUCUCAACAUCCCUAGGACCGUAGUGAAGGUCCCUUGCAUCUUGGGUAUCAGUGAUUUACAUCUAUUCUUAGUCUUGUGAGAGGUUGAUCAGUUUUAUGGAUUUUUGUGAAACAUUAAUGUUUAGUUUCAUCAAUUUUCUGGUUUUGGUAUUUUCAUUUUUUGCUGUUUUUAUGUUUCCUUUAUCUUGCUACUUUGGAUUUAAUUUGUUCUUCUUUUUCUGGUUUACUAAGGCAAAAGAUUAGAGGGCAGAUUACUUUCUGAUGUAUGUGUCCAGUGCUACUGAUUUCCCUCUAGCACUGCUUUCCCUGCAUUCUGCAAAUUUUGAUAUUUGUGUUCUUUUAGUUAAAAAUAUUUUUUAAGUUUAUCUUAAGACUUUUUCUUUGGUCCAUUUUUUAUUUAGAAUUGUGUUUAUUCCAGAUUUUUAAAAUAUUUUUAUUAGUUAUUGAUGAAUUUUUUAAAAAUUUAUUUGUAUGUGGUGCUGAGAAUAGAACCCAGUAUGUCACACAUGCUAGGCAAGGACUCUACCACUGAGCCACAACCCCAGCCCCUAAUCUAGUAUUUUAUUUUAUUUUUAUUUUUUAUUUAUUUAUGUAUUUUUUAUUAGUUGCUCAAGACAACACAAUGAUCUUGACAUAUCAUACUUUUGAUUCAAAUAGGGUAUGAGUUCUCAUUUUUCCACGUGUUCAGAUUGCAGGAUCACACUGGUUAUACAUCCAUGUGUAUACAGAGAGCAAUCCUAGUGUCAGUUGUAUUCUGCUGCCCUCCCUAUCCCCUCCCCUCCCCUCCCCUCCCCUCACUAUUCUCUACCCAUUCUACUGUGACACUUCUCUCUCUCUCUCUUCCCCCCCCCCCACACCAUCGUAUAUGUAUUUUGUGAACCCAGGAGGGUCUCCUUCCAUCUUCCAUGAAAUUCCCCUUCUUUCUCCCUUUCCCUCCCACCUAUUUUCCUUGUUUCGUGGUAAUCUUCUUCUCAUGCUCUUCCUUCCUACUCUGUUUUGAGUCGCCUCCCUUUUAUCAGAGAAGACAUUCAGCAUUUGUUUUUUAGGGAUUGGCUAGCUUCACUUAGCAUAAUCUGCUCUAGUGCCAUCCAUUUCCCUGAAAAUGCCAUGAUUUUGUUAUUUUUUAGUGCUGAGUAAUAUUCCAUUGUGUAUAAAUGCCACAUUUUUUAAUCCAUUCAUCUGUUGAAGGGCAUCUGGAUUGGUUCCACAGUCUAGCUAUUGUGAAUUGUGCUGCUAUGAACAUUUAUGUAGCUGUGUCCCUGCAGUAUGCUCUUUUUAGGUCUUUUGGGUAUAGUCCAAGAAGGGGAAUAGCUGGGUCAAAUGGUGGUUCCAUUCUCAGCUUUCCAAAGAAUCUCCAUACUGCCCUCCAAAUUGGCUGCACCAAUUUGCAGUCCCACCAGCAAUGUACAAGUGUACCCUUUUCCCCACAUCCUCGCCAGCACUUGUUGUUGUUUGACUUCAUAAUGGCUGCCUUUCUUACUGGAGUGAGAUAGUAUCUUAGAGUGGUUUUAAUUUGCAUUUCUCUGAUUGCUAGAGAUGGUGAGCAUUUUUUUGUGUGUACUUGUUGAUUGAUUGUAUAUCCUCCUCUGUGAAGUGUCUGUUUAGAUCUUUGGCCCAUUUUUUGAUUGGGUUAUUUGUUUUUUUGUUGUUUAACUUUUUGAGUUCUUUGUAUACUCUGGAGAUUAGCACUCUAUCUGAAGUGUGAGGGGUAAAGAUUUGUUCCCAGGAUGUAGGCUCCCUAUUUACCUCACUUAUUAUUUCUCUUGCUGAGAAAAAAACUUUUUAGUUUGAAUAUGUCCCAUUUGUUGAUUCGUGAUUUUAACUCUUGUGCUCUAGGUGUCCUAUUAAGGAAUUUGGAGCCUGACCCCACAAGAUGGAGAUUAGGGCCAACUUGUUCUUCUAUUAGAUGCAGAGUCUCUAGUAUUUUAAAGGGCUCCAAUUAUCUUUCUGUUAUAUACUCUAGUUAAUUCUGAGAGUAUAUAUUGUAGGACUUCUUUUCUUUUAAAUUGGUGGAUGUGUGUUUUAUAGCCCUAAUGUGAUCUAUCUGUCCCAUGUGAGAUUGAGAGGAAUGUGUAUUCUGCGGCUAUUGAAUUAAAUAUUCUGCAGGUGUUAAUUAGAUGUGUCUGAUUGCUGGUGCUGCUCUUCUGUCUAAGGAUCUGUUCAUUUCCAAUACAGGGCGCAGGCAUCCUGCUACACGUGGAUCCCUCUAUGUCCGCUGCAGUCCUGUUUGGUGUUCUGUUGUCAGGCGCACACACAUAAGGACUGUCGUGUCUGCUGUGAAUCAUUGCACAACGCCCCUCUCGCGCUGAUGGCUUCCCCUGCUUGGAAGUCUGUCUGGUCUGAAGUUGGUGUAACUACUCUGUCCUUGUUUGCUUACUGUUAGCGUGGUGGACCUUUCUCAACAACUUCACCUUCUGUACCGAUGAGUUUUUAUGUUGAAGAGUGGUUUCUAAAGACACCACCUAGCCCGAGUCUUUCCUUAUCACUUGGACAGCAUUCAGACCUUCCUGUGUAGAUGGCUGUUGGCACAGGUGGAUCGCUAUCUUCCUCAUGUGUGCUGCUGGGUCCCACCCAUCGCCCUCUUCUUGGCUUCUUCUCUUCAUCCUGCACCUGUCCUUCACGUCUGCCCUCUCUGGUCGUAGUGGGACACUGUGUAUGACUCCCUUUUUCUUCUCUCUCAGCACAUCGCUAGCCCUUUGGUCUUUUCACUCUUCAGUGGAACCAUUGCACUUGAGUCUGCAGCAUGUGGUAACGACAGGUCCACUGACGAGGAGCACUGCCCUGCUCCAUGGACAGCGUCAGCAGGACACAGCAUUCCAGCCCUCCUCCACCCCCGGAGACUCCUCUUCUACUUGCUUUUACUUGUAAGCUGCAAUCAUCAAAUGCGGUUGCCAUUGUUAUAUGCUAUUUAUUCCUAAUUAAUAAUAGGAAUACUUGUGUUUAUUUCUUUCUUAAUACUUCCUUUCUUUUUGAGGUCUGAUUUUCUGACCUAGGUCAUUUUCCUUCUCUCAGAAUGACUUUUUCAAACACUUCUUGCGAGGCAAGGCUACUGGCAAUGAAUUCUGUCUGUCUGAGAAAGCCCUGAUUUCCUUAUCAUUUUUGAAGAUGAAUUUUGCUGGAUACAGAAUUCUCUUAGUGGAUUUUCUCUCAACACUUUGAAUAUUUCAUUCCACUCUUUUCUUGCUAGUCUGGCUUUUGGAGAUGGAAUCUGAUGUCAUUCUUAACUUUGGUCCUCACUGUUAAGAUUCUUUCUCUUUUCUCUAUGUCUUCAGUUUUCUGCAGUUGGAACGUGAUGUGGCAGGCGCAGGGGUUGCUGUUCUCUCUUGUACGUCAUCUGCCAUGGUGGCUUCAAGUGUUCUUCCUCUUUCUUCUUCUGGUCUUCCCACUGUAUGUGCCUUGCACCUUCUGGAACUGACCCACGUCUCUUGGAGUUUCCGUUGUGAUUCCUCAUUCUUUUCUAACUUUGGGGCCAGUUGUGGAGUCCCACUUCCCACCUUUUCAAGAUCACUGCCUUCUCGCUGGUCACGCCGAGUCUGCACAUGAGCCUGCUGAGGGCCUUGCCGGCCUCCGUCCACCAGGCCCAUCUCCUCUGUGUCUCCCUUGUAGCCGCUGCCUGUCCCGGGCCCCUGGUCUGAUGAUGCUAGCCUCCCUCUGCAUCCGGCUCUUCGAACAUCUUCAGUCUGGGACGCGCAGCUCCUGCAGCUGUGUCCCCUGUUAUGCGGAAGCCCUGUGGGCCCUGGUGUGGUGAGGCAGGUGGGGUGAGGGCUUCCGCCUCUCCGGGCCGUGGCCUUCACACGUGUGCUCAGUUCCCACCACUCUCAGGUGGGUCAGCAAGGCUGCAGGGUCUGGAAUCGGGGUUUCCUCCCCGGGUCUCUCAGGCACUGAUGAGUCCCAGCAGGCUAGAUGCUGUUUGACCAUUUUGAUUCAUUUCAAAAGGCUGACUUUCCCCUCCUGCUCUGGAAAUGCCCGGGAUUUUUCUGUGAGAUUCACUGUGAGAACCCGUUGUUGCCCUGGGUAUAAAACUCACAAAAGCCUGCCUCCAGGUCUGGUCCCUGGAGUGAGCUCAGUUGGUCUAUCCCAGCCUCCAACAUCAUUCAGCCUGGUUUUCCUGGGCUGGGAUCUGCUGCAACAAAGCGGGGUUCUGUCCUCUUUCCAUCUGGGGCUGUAGGUCCCCUCUUGCCUCAGCUCUCUAGUGGAUCAAGGAGCAGGUGCUGGUUUUCGGGUCGGUCUCCUUGUUUCUUGUGAAGAUGGCCCACAGCGUCCAGGCUCCCUCUAUGACAGCCUGAGCUGGAGGAGCACUGGAAACCCUUUUUUCUUUCCUUUCUUCUUCCUUCCUUCCUUCCUCCUCCUCCUCCUCCUCUUUUUUAUUAAGGAAAAAUGCAAGCUAGAAGGGGGUGGAAUGUUUGCAAAUCUGCUGGAUGACUGCUCAAAGUGUUUUCCAGAGUAUAGAUCAGGUACCCUCAACAUUUACUUGAUACUGGUUAAAUUUAAGGAAAGUAGAUCAACUGAUUAGUUGAUCAAGAGGUUAACCCAUAGACCAGUGGUAAGAUUUUCUGUGCUUUUAAGACCCGGAGCCUUGGCAGUUACAGCUGGAUUCUCCCACAGGGCAGCUGACUCCACAGAGCUGACAGACGAACACCAGGGGUUCUGCCUCCACUCCGCCAGAGCCCUGCAGAGCCCUGCAGACUGAGCUUCCAGCACAAAGAAGGGCAGGGUAGGCCCCUCACAGGCCUCCGUCGCCAGCUCCGAGUUCUGGCUCCUCCUCUCACCAUGCUGUGGCGGUCACAAAAGCAGUGUCCUUGCAGGUGAAACAUCUGGGACAGGUGCCCCCCAGUCCUCACCCAGAGUGAGCCAGCCCCCUCCCUGGGGUUCCAGGUCAGGGCCUGACUGAGCUGCAGGGUCCAAACAGGCCUGAGAGUCUGCACCCCUUCAGACAGGCGUUCCCCAACCCCCAGGGCUGUGUGGAUGCUGAGAAGGGGCCCGGCCGCCAGUGCUGGAUGUGCUAUGCUGUGGGGACAGGUUUGUGAGGCCAUCCCUCCUGCCAAAAGUGACAGAAGACCAUGCGACAGACCAGGGUGGAAUUGAACUCCUGGGAGACCUGCUCAACACCUCUGCGUGGUGACAAAGGAUGCACCCCCAGAUGUGGGGGCUUGGGCUUGCCGUGCUGGGACUGAGCCUGGGGAAUGGGGUAGUUUGGGGCUCACGGGAAGACAAGGGAUCCUGGCGGCAGCAGGGGGCUGGGAAGCUGUGCCUGAACACCUGCGGGUUCUGCCCUGAGUUACUGUGGCAAACGUCCCUUACCAGAGGGUCCCAGUUUGGACGUAUUAUAUGAAGCACCGAGGUCUACACCUGCCUCACCUCCCACGUGACGCCCUCCGUCUGCACAAUAUCCAGCCUGCUUUGGAAACGUGGAAUUAGGCAGUUAGAGGGUUCUUGGCCUCCCGAAUCCAAAGCACGAGGUCCACAGACCAGUGCGGAGAGAGUGAUAAGAGACAGACGUCAUUAUCCAAAGUACAUGUAUGAAGACAUGAAUCGGUGUGAACGUACUUUAUAGACAGAGACGUGAAAAAUUGUGCUCUAUGUGUGUAAUAAGAAUCGUGAUGCAUUCCACUGUCAUGUAUUUAAAAAAUAAAAUCAAUCAAAUAUAAA